UACGUAGGGGGCAAGCGUUGUCCGGAAUUAUUGGGCGUAAAGAGCUCGUAGGCGGUUUGUCGCGUCUGCUGUGAAAUUUCGGGGCUCAACCCCGAACUUGCAGUGGGUACGGGCAGACUAGAGUGUGGUAGGGGAGACUGGAAUUCCUGGUGUAGCGGUGAAAUGCGCAGAUAUCAGGAGGAACACCGAUGGCGAAGGCAGGUCUCUGGGCCACUACUGACGCUGAGAAGCGAAAGCAUGGGGAGCGAACAGG
rnacentral:rRNA from 1 species